rnacentral:rRNA from 1 species
GACGUAGGGCGCGAGCGUUGUCCGGAUUUAUUGGGCGUAAAGAGCUCGUAGGCGGCUUGUCGCGUCGACUGUGAAAACUCGGGGCUCAACUCCGAGCUUGCAGUCGAUACGGGCAGGCUAGAGUUCGGUAGGGGAGACUGGAAUUCCUGGUGUAGCGGUGAAAUGCGCAGAUAUCAGGAGGAACACCGGUGGCGAAGGCGGGUCUCUGGGCCUUACCUGACGCUGAGGAGCGAAAGCGUGGGUAGCGAACAGG